GACGAACGCUGGCGGCGUGCCUAAUACAUGCAAGUCGAGCGGAAGUUGGAGAGCUUGCUCUUCAACUUUAGCGGCGGACGGGUGAGUAACACGUGGGCAACCUGCCCUGCAGAUCGGGGUAACUCCGGGAAACCGGUGCUAAUACCGAAUAGUUUUCGCCACCUCCUGGUGGCGUACGGAAAGACGGUUUCGGCUGUCACUGCAGGAUGGGCCCGCGGCGCAUUAGCUAGUUGGUGGGGUAACGGCCCACCAAGGCGACGAUGCGUAGCCGGCCGGGGAGGGGGGGCGGCCACACUGGGACUGAGACACGGCCCAGACUCCUACGGGAGGCAGCAGUAGGGAAUCUUCAGCAAUGGACGAAGGUCUGAGGGAGCAACGCCGCGUGAGUGACGAAGGUUUUCGGAUCGUAAAACUCUGUUGUGAGGGAAGAACAAGUACCAACUAACUACUGGUACCUUGACGGUACCUCACCAGAAAGCCACGGCUAACUACGUGCCAGCCGCCGCCGUAAGAC
rnacentral:rRNA from 1 species